rnacentral:snRNA from 1 species
UCCCACUGUCCCUGUCUACUAU